UCAGCAAGAUUAUUUUUUAUUAGUGGAAGACUUUUCAUGGAAAAAAGGAUGAGUUAUUUUGACCCUCCUAGUUAGUGCACAAUCAAUACUGAGGCUUCAGAGACACAGACAAGUUUCAACACCAAUGACCCGAAAGGAUAUUAUUUGUUCCAUCAAUGGUGUUUUGGAUGUCUAAAUGAAGUUUUAAGAAUACUUUGCUUGUGAUAUUGAUGCCGAGAUGACCAUACUGAUGCCUCGCUCGAAUUUACUUCCGAUAUUGAGCCUUUGUAUUUUUUGAUUUGCGGUGAACCUAAUCCAAGGGACAGUCACACUUGCAGUGUCGUUGGUCAUAAACUAUUUGUGGGUACUAAUGGGAUGAAUUCACUGAUUGAUUUGCAUAUUAGAGAGUAUGCUAAAAUGUGUGGAUUUUAGCUCAAGUGGGUUGAUUUUUGCAUGAGCAUGUACAGCUCUGGUCUCACAUCUGUUUUGGGCGAUGUCACUGAAAGCUAAGUCUUAAGCUAAAACAUGUAUAUGUUAUGAAGCUAUAUAGUUACGUGCUCUUUAUCUACAUACAACUUACUGAUGUUAUAUUGUUUUUAGCUUUGCAAACGUUGGAAUGUCCAAUUAUAAGAGGAAAAGGGCCAGAGGCAUGUGAGGGUCAUAGCAAAACAGUUAUUGACCAACAACUCUUCAUCUUUGGUGGUUGUGAACAAUCUGCUGAUAUUAACAAUGAUCUUUACAUAAUACACACUGAAUACAAACUUAGUAUUCAUUGAUGUGCUAACUUACAAAGAAGUGCGGGGGGAGUCUAUAUCAGCUGACCGGGCGAAACCUACAGCUCAAGCCUGACGAAUGCCUUUUAUGUUCCUGGUGAAAAAGAAAAGAAUCGCUUUCCUUCCCCAUCUCUAUUUGAUACAGCUAGAGUUUCUACUGGUGCCUUGAGUUUACUUUUAAUAUUGAAGCCUCAUUGACCGAAAUGAUGCCUUGAAAAUGUAUUUGCAAUAGUGAUGCCUCGUUGUCCCUAUAGAUGCCUUGAAUUUACUUGUGGUAUUGAUGCUUCGAUGACCCUAAUGAUGCCUUGAAUUUACUUGCGAUAUUGAUGCCUCGUUGACCCUAUUGAUGCCUUGAAUUUACUUGCGAUAUUGAUGCCUUGAUGAUCCUAAUGACGUCAGCCUUGAAUUUACUUGCAAUAUUAAUGCCUCGAUGACCUUAUUGGUGCCUUGUAAAUUCUUGAGAUAUUGAUGCCUCGAUGACCCUAAUGAUGCCUCGAUAUAAUGAAUACUUUACUCAAAUGUAAAUGUUGCCUUAUUGCGGGUAUUGAUAUGAAUUUUAUUCAUUCAUAAUGCCUGAAUGGCCCUGGAAGAACUAUUAUGAAUACUUUAGGUGCGAUAUGGAUGUCU